CUGCAGCCAAUUAAGCCGACUGAGUUCCUUUCCUCAUGGGGGCCCAGUGUGCAAUGGCUGCAAACAGCAGCUUCCCUGGUAGUGAUGCAGCCUGUUUGUUGUAUGGCUUGCUCUAAGGGACCUUGGAGACAGAC
rnacentral:snoRNA from 1 species